UACAGAGACUGCAAGCGUUAUUCGGAUUCACUGGGCGUAAAGGGUGCGCAGGCGGCCAAGUGUGUGAGGCGUGAAAGCCCGGGGCUUAACCCCGGAAUUGCACCUCAAACUACAUGGCUAGAGCAUUGGAGAGGGUAGCAGAAUUCAUGGUGUAGCAGUGAAAUGCGUAGAUAUCAUGAGGAAUACCAGAGGCGAAGGCGGCUACCUGGACAAUUGCUGACGCUCGAGCACGAAAGCGUGGGGAGCAAAAGGG
rnacentral:rRNA from 1 species